CAUGUUAUAUCAAAUAAUAGUAUCGUACUAGUGAUGGCAGGAUAUUCAAAAACAAUUCAGUUCUUUCUUCGAUCUAAUGAAAUUAAGUUCAACGCAAGCUCGUUUUUGAUUCCUUUCAUUUUUAUGAGGAGCGCUGCUAAUUUUUGGAACGAAGUUCCUUGUGGGGAGAUGCGGAGGGGUACCCCCUAACCGGGAAAAAACGUCCGUAAGAUUUUUAAUAGUAAUGCACAGUGUACGACUUAACUUUUUUAAUAACGUACAAAUUAGUAAUGCACGCAGUGUACAAAUUAACUUUGUAAUAACGUACAACAAAUAACUAUUUUUUUAUCAUUCAUUGACCACGAUUUCAGAGCGUUCGUUUGCGCAAUACACCAACUCUUAUGCAAACAACCGUGAAUUAAGUGUACCACAAUAAUACAAUAAUAUAAAAAAAAAACAGAAAAAAAUUCCUUUAUUAAACUUUAUUAUUAUUUAAUGAUUCUUCAAGAAUCCAUGCUGUCAUGCCAUUGCAGAGUUUGAUAUGCAAUUCGCGCACACUGAGUUCUAUAUGCAAAAACUGCAUACUUAUUGACGGCCACUGAUAAUCUGCCGAACGCCACUAAGCUUUUAGGGUGGAAAACAUUUUCUUGAUUACAAACGCAUCGAACCAUAUGCGAGGCAUGAAACUGCACAGGAUCGCCUGAAAUUUUUAUACGCAAAUAUUUUAAUUACAUACCAAGACACAGGAAAUCACUAGAUACUUUUAUGGAAUGAUAUGAGUAAAGGCUGAUAGCACAAUGCAAACGUACAAGUAUUAAGGAUUACUGGUGGCCCGGAGGCCUUUCCACUUUCACCAGGACAGGUGGGCGAGCAAAGGCUCAGCCAGGAGGGGUGGGAUUUGCUAACAGCUGCCCGAGCGCCUCCGAAGGAGACCUAACAACUCAAGAGCAGCUGCUUCGCGAAUGAACCUACUACCGGAUCGGAAUCGUGACCCGCUGAGAAGAUCCGGCGAGAAACUCAGCAAGCUGAUUCAUGGGUUGGGUUGCACGUCGAACUCUUUGUCGAGUUCGACGAGUACGGUUACCGGGACCAGACUUCCACUGCUGGACAAAGGCCUACCUCAAGCUUUGCCACAAUGACCGGUUCUAUAUAACCUUUUCUUUUAACGCUGGGGAAUCCAUUUACGGAUACCCAGUCGAGGGGGUAACGGACCGGGUUAUGUCAGACUCCGACGCCUCCUGUGAGGAAGAAGGGGAGAAGAGAAGGACCAAUGUCCUCCAACUCCCCCAAUUUCUCACAGGAGACUACGCCUUGAAAAAGGCGCGCGAGACACUUGCUCCGCAGAACCGACUACCGACUAAGCCCCAUCGAGCUCCACCGCACUGACUACACGAAACUUACGGUACCGUAGUGCGCGCCGAAUGUCCUAUAUAGCCUGCAUCCAGCUGAUUCCUGCGAACCUCAGUAGCUGUAGGUAAUUGGUCCACCUGUUGCGAGGCAUACCCACGCUACGCCUUCCGGUACACAGUCGCCACUCGAGAACUUAUCGGCUUCAUCAGCCAUCUCUAUUUUGUUAUUUGAUAGGAAUUAAUCUUGAUAAUAUAUAAUAUUAUUAUCUAUAGACAGUUAGGUAAUUAUUCUAUAUUACCUAUAUUUCUAUACAUUUCUUGUGGAAGUUGUACUAAAGUGUGGUCUGGAUCUAAAUCUUGUAUUCUUUUUAUUUCUUCUUCUAACAUUGCAUCUUUAUCAAUAUUUGCAUCUGUGAAUGAAAACAAACAUGUAUUUUGUAAUAAUUCAUUGAUUUGUUUUAAACUACACAUUUUAAAACUGUUUUUUUUCUUUUUAUUGCUUAUAUGGGUGGGCGAGCUCACAGCCCACCUGAUGUUAAGUGGUUACUGGAGCCCAUAGACAUCUACAACAUAAAUGCGCUACCUACCUUGAGAUAUAAGUUCUAAGCUCUCAAUAUAGUUACAACAGCUGCCCCACCCUUCAAACCGAAACGCAUUACUGCAUCACAGCAGAAUCAGGCAGGGUGGUGGUACCUACCCGUGCGGACUCAAAUGAGGUCCUACCACCAGUAAUUACGUAAAUUAUAAUUUUGCAGGUUUGAUUUAUAUUACAUGAUGUUAUUCCUUCACCAUGGAAGUCAAUUGUGAACAUUUGAUAAGUACAUAUUUCAAUACAAUAAUUGGUACCCGCCUGGGAUCCGAACACCGGUGCAUUGCUCAACACAAAUGCACGUCUUAUCCUUUAGGCCACUGCAAGUGUUUUAUUUAUAUAAUGACAAUAUCUGAAGCAACAUUAUACAAAAGCAUUUAUUUACCAGACAUCCCUUUAUUUAUGAGGUUUUUCUUUUUCCCAGCCACAAUGAUAUCAAUCUUUUGUGAUAAUUGUUCUAUUUUGCGUUUCUUUAAUGCUGAUGCUUGUUGUUCAAGUACUCUAUGACAAAAAUAUUUAUUUUUAGGUUUUGAGAUGCCUUUGUGUUAGAAUUCACUUCCUAUUUAUUUAUCACCAAUUGAAAUUAUUCCAGCAAUUCUUUUGAUUAAUUUAAAUUGUAACUAUUAUAAUGCAAUCCAUUUUUUUUUAUUUUACCACAUAAUAAAAUUCAAUAUUCGUAACAUUAAACUUUGUUACUUUUUUAAAAAUUCUUCCAUUAAUUCUUUAUCCUUUUCUGUUGGUUCAUAUUUACAAAAUUCAGCUGGCAUUUCAUGAAGUUCACAUAUCCUCUUUUCAACCAAUAAUGCUGUUUCUUCAGAAGAUAAUGCAAUCGGAAGCCCUGCAAAGAUCUGAGAAUAUAAAUUGAAUACAAGCUAAGAUUUUAUCUUGUGAAACCUAAAACCAUAGAUAAAGAAACUAUUUGCGACCUGGUCCACUUCUAUGGAAAAUAAUAUAAAAUUCCAACUUUAGCAUAAAUCCUUCUUUAGUUAAUUCAUUGAUUAUGAACUCUCAAUGUACAGCUAAAGAAACUAUGUACUUGUUCAAUUGAUUGUUAAUUUUCGUAUUAUAUGUUUUGUUAUAAUUGCCAAUUUUUUUUUUGUUACUAUUCAUUUUCCAAGCUGGAGUUGUUAAAUUGAAAAAUUAAUGAGAUUAAUAUUAAAAAAUUUAUCUAGCUAGUAAGUAAAAUAUAUUUUAGACUUUCA